AACGCAAUUGCCCCGCAAGGGGCGGUUGAGUGGCGAAUGGGUGCGUAACACGUAGGUGACCUGCCCGGAAGUGGGGAAUAACAGUCCGAAAGGACUGCUAAUACCGCAUGUGGUGCGUGGGUUUUGAAGCCGCGUACCAAAGGUUUCCGCAAGGAAGCCGCUUUCGGAGGGGCCUGCGGCCCAUCAGCUAGUUGGUAGGGUAACGGCCUACCAAGGCGACGACGGGUAGGGGACCUGAGAGGGUGACCCCCCACACUGGCACUGACACACGGGCCAGACUCCUACGGGAGGCAGCAGUCGGGAAUAUUGCACAAUGGACGAAAGUCUGAUGCAGCAACGCCGCGUGCGCGAUGAAGGCCUUCGGGUCGUAAAGCGCUUUUCGGGUGGAUGAGAGAGGACAGUACACCCGGAAUCAGGAACGGCUAACUACGUGCCAGCAGCCGCGGUAAAACGUAGGUUCCGAGCGUUAUCCGGAUUUACUGGGCGUAAAGCGCGUUCAGGCGGUUUGGCAAGUCGGGCAUGAAAUCCUUCGGCUCAACCGGGGGAGGUUGUCCGAUACUGCUGAACUGGAGGGCAGUAGAGGGUGGUGGAAUUCCGGGUGUAGUGGUGAAAUGCGUAGAGAUCCGGAGGAACACCAGUGGCGAAAGCGG
rnacentral:rRNA from 1 species